rnacentral:rRNA from 1 species
UAAGCGACUAAGCGUACACGGUGGAUGCCCUGGCAGUCAGAGGCGAUGAAGGACGUGCUAAUCUGCGAUAAGCGUCGGUAAGGUGAUAUGAACCGUUAUAACCGGCGAUUUCCGAAUGGGGAAACCCAGUGUGUUUCGACACACUAUCAUUAACUGAAUCCAUAGGUUAAUGAGGCGAACCGGGGGAACUGAAACAUCUAAGUACCCCGAGGAAAAGAAAUCAACCGAGAUUCCCCCAGUAGCGGCGAGCGAACGGGGAGGAGCCCAGAGCCUGAAUCAGUGUGUGUGUUAGUGGAAGGCUGGAAAGGCGCGCGAUACAGGGUGACAGCCCCGUACACAAAAAUGCACAUGCUGUGAGCUCGAUGAGUAGGGCGGGACACGUGGUAUCCUGUCUGAAUAUGGGGGGACCAUCCUCCAAGGCUAAAUACUCCUGACUGACCGAUAGUGAACCAGUACCGUGAGGGAAAGGCGAAAAGAACCCCGGCGAGGGGAGUGAAAAAGAACCUGAAACCGUGUACGUACAAGCAGUGGGAGCCUCUUUUAUGGGGUGACUGCGUACCUUUUGUAUAAUGGGUCAGCGACUUAUAUUCUGUAGCAAGGUUAACCGAAUAGGGGAGCCGAAGGGAAACCGAGUCUUAACUGGGCGUUAAGUUGCAGGGUAUAGACCCGAAACCCGGUGAUCUAGCCAUGGGCAGGUUGAAGGUUGGGUAACACUAACUGGAGGACCGAACCGACUAAUGUUGAAAAAUUAGCGGAUGACUUGUGGCUGGGGGUGAAAGGCCAAUCAAACCGGGAGAUAGCUGGUUCUCCCCGAAAGCUAUUUAGGUAGCGCCUCGUGAAUUCAUCUCCGGGGGUAGAGCACUGUUUCGGCAAGGGGGUCAUCCCGACUUACCAACCCGAUGCAAACUGCGAAUACCGGAGAAUGUUAUCACGGGAGACACACGGCGGGUGCUAACGUCCGUCGUGAAGAGGGAAACAACCCAGACCGCCAGCUAAGGUCCCAAAGUCAUGGUUAAGUGGGAAACGAUGUGGGAAGGCCCAGACAGCCAGGAUGUUGGCUUAGAAGCAGCCAUCAUUUAAAGAAAGCGUAAUAGCUCACUGGUCGAGUCGGCCUGCGCGGAAGAUGUAACGGGGCUAAACCAUGCACCGAAGCUGCGGCAGCGACACUGUGUGUUGUUGGGUAGGGGAGCGUUCUGUAAGCCUGUGAAGGUGUGCUGUGAGGCAUGCUGGAGGUAUCAGAAGUGCGAAUGCUGACAUAAGUAACGAUAAAGCGGGUGAAAAGCCCGCUCGCCGGAAGACCAAGGGUUCCUGUCCAACGUUAAUCGGGGCAGGGUGAGUCGACCCCUAAGGCGAGGCCGAAAGGCGUAGUCGAUGGGAAACAGGUUAAUAUUCCUGUACUUGGUGUUACUGCGAAGGGGGGACGGAGAAGGCUAUGUUGGCCGGGCGACGGUUGUCCCGGUUUAAGCGUGUAGGCUGGUUUUCCAGGCAAAUCCGGAAAAUCAAGGCUGAGGCGUGAUGACGAGGCACUACGGUGCUGAAGCAACAAAUGCCCUGCUUCCAGGAAAAGCCUCUAAGCAUCAGGUAACAUCAAAUCGUACCCCAAACCGACACAGGUGGUCAGGUAGAGAAUACCAAGGCGCUUGAGAGAACUCGGGUGAAGGAACUAGGCAAAAUGGUGCCGUAACUUCGGGAGAAGGCACGCUGAUAUGUAGGUGAAGUCCCUCGCGGAUGGAGCUGAAAUCAGUCGAAGAUACCAGCUGGCUGCAACUGUUUAUUAAAAACACAGCACUGUGCAAACACGAAAGUGGACGUAUACGGUGUGACGCCUGCCCGGUGCCGGAAGGUUAAUUGAUGGGGUCAGCGCAAGCGAAGCUCUUGAUCGAAGCCCCGGUAAACGGCGGCCGUAACUAUAACGGUCCUAAGGUAGCGAAAUUCCUUGUCGGGUAAGUUCCGACCUGCACGAAUGGCGUAAUGAUGGCCAGGCUGUCUCCACCCGAGACUCAGUGAAAUUGAACUCGCUGUGAAGAUGCAGUGUACCCGCGGCAAGACGGAAAGACCCCGUGAACCUUUACUAUAGCUUGACACUGAACAUUGAGCCUUGAUGUGUAGGAUAGGUGGGAGGCUUUGAAGUGUGGACGCCAGUCUGCAUGGAGCCGACCUUGAAAUACCACCCUUUAAUGUUUGAUGUUCUAACGUGGACCCGUGAUCCGGGUUGCGGACAGUGUCUGGUGGGUAGUUUGACUGGGGCGGUCUCCUCCUAAAGAGUAACGGAGGAGCACGAAGGUUGGCUAAUCCUGGUCGGACAUCAGGAGGUUAGUGCAAUGGCAUAAGCCAGCUUGACUGCGAGCGUGACGGCGCGAGCAGGUGCGAAAGCAGGUCAUAGUGAUCCGGUGGUUCUGAAUGGAAGGGCCAUCGCUCAACGGAUAAAAGGUACUCCGGGGAUAACAGGCUGAUACCGCCCAAGAGUUCAUAUCGACGGCGGUGUUUGGCACCUCGAUGUCGGCUCAUCACAUCCUGGGGCUGAAGUAGGUCCCAAGGGUAUGGCUGUUCGCCAUUUAAAGUGGUACGCGAGCUGGGUUUAGAACGUCGUGAGACAGUUCGGUCCCUAUCUGCCGUGGGCGCUGGAGAACUGAGGGGGGCUGCUCCUAGUACGAGAGGACCGGAGUGGACGCAUCACUGGUGUUCGGGUUGUCAUGCCAAUGGCACUGCCCGGUAGCUAAAUGCGGAAGAGAUAAGUGCUGAAAGCAUCUAAGCACGAAACUUGCCCCGAGAUGAGUUCUCCCUGACCCUUUAAGGGUCCUGAAGGAACGUUGAAGACGACGACGUUGAUAGGCCGGGUGUGUAAGCGCAGCGAUGCGUUGAGCUAACCGGUACUAAUGAACCGUGAGGCUUAACCU